AAUAACAUCUGUGAAGCAGGAGUUAAGAUUGCAAAAGUUACAAUAUUUGGAAGAACCAGAGCAUAUUCUCCAGUAGUUAUUUUUAGAUUUGGAGGAUUGGAAUGAAUUUAUUGGUUUUACUAUGAUAUUGCGUUUUUUUUUAAAACAUUUUUUUUCUGUUUGUAAAAUAGCAAAAGAAAUAUUUUUUGUUACACUUAGUUGGUGACCAAGGCAGUU